rnacentral:rRNA from 1 species
CACGCCAUAAACGAUGAAUACUAGGUGUAGGGGGUAUCGACCCCCUCUGUGCCGACGUUAACACAUUAAGUAUUCCACCUGGGGAGUACGGCCGCAAGGCUGAAACUCAAAGGAAUUGACGGGGACCCGCACAAGCAGUGGAGUAUGUGGUUUAAUUCGAAGCAACGCGAAGAACCUUACCAGGGCUUGACAUCCUCGGACGACACUAGAGAUAGUGUUUUCUCUUCGGAGACUGAGAGACAGGUGG